UAACCAAGCCUGUGAUAGUCAAAAUAAGCAGUUGCUCGUGCUGCUCCUGAACGAAUGGGUGAUGGGACGGGCUGUGAGAAAACACGAUGUGAUGUCAAACAGACCCACGGUUGAGACUGUGAUGAAGUACAGCCUUUAGAUCAUGCUCCA